UUCAUCGUGAGGUGAAAUCUGAAGGAAGCCGGCGGCAAACAUCUGGCCUGACGAACAGAAACUUCAUAUAAGGCAUAUGACCAUGGAUAAGAUUGCCAGACAAAUCAAAGUCCCAUAGCUAUUCGGAAUGGUCGGUGUAAAUGAAGUAGGUAUAAGAUGGAAAGAUAAUGUU
rfam:Prevotella timonensis CRIS 5C-B1 contig00008, whole genome shotgun sequence.